AUAGAGACUCAGAGCUGCAUAUCAAUAAGCGGAGGAAAAGAAACUAACAAGGAUUCCCUUAGUAACGGCGAGUGAAGCGGGAAGAGCUCAAAUUUGAAAUCUUCAAGGUUCUACCUUGACGAAAUUGUAGUUUAUAGAAGUGUUUUCUGUUAGUAGAGUGGCAAAAGUUCUUUGGAAUAGGACAUCAUAGAGGGUGAGAAUCCCGUAUUUGGUCAUUCUUUCUAGCUUUGUGAUACACUUUCAACGAGUCGGAUUGUUUGGGAAUGCAGUCCAAAAUGGGUGGUAAAUUUCAUCUAAAGCUAAAUAUUGGCGAGAGACCGAUAGCGAACAAGUACCGUGAGGGAAAGAUGAAAAGAACUUUGAAAAGAGAGUUAAACAGUACGUGAAAUUGUCAAAAGGGAAGCGUUUGACACCAGUGUUGUUUUUCCGAAAAUCAAUUACGAAUGUUUUGUUUUUAAGAAGUUAUGACUUCAUCGGCUUGCUUCUUUCUUUACGAAACUUUCUUAAUGCACUUUUCGGUUAACAAGUCAACAUCAAUUUCUUUUGUUGUAAAAGGGUACGAGGAAGGUGGCUUUCUUUUCGGAGAAAGUGUUUAUAGCCUUGUACCUCUGCAAUCGGAGAGAUUGAGGUCUGCAGCGUAGAUCCUUCGGGGUUAGAUACAUUUGUGCUAAGUUAUAGCUUUUCAUAGACAACUUGUUGACUAUGUUAAGUCUUGUAGCUUACUCGCUUAUGCUAUUAUUACCUACGCUUAGGAUGUUGAUAUGCAUGACUGAUAU
rnacentral:rRNA from 1 species